UGGGGAAUUUUGCACAAUGGGGGAAACCCUGAUGCAGCGACGCCGCGUGAUUUAGAAGGCCUUCGGGUUGUAAAAAUCUUUUCUAUGGGAAGAAAAUGACAGUACCAUAGGAAUAAGGACCGGCUAAUUACGUGCCAGCAGCCGCGGUAAUACGUAAGGUCCGAGCGUUGUCCGGAAUCAUUGGGCGUAAAGGGUACGUAGGCGGGUAAGCAAGUUAGAAGUGAAAUCCUGUAGCUCAACUACAGUAAGCUUUUAAAACUGCUCAUCUUGAGAUAUGGAAGGGAAAGUAGAAUUCCUAGUGUAGCGGUGAAAUGCGCAGAUAUUAGGGGGAAUACCGGUGGCGAAGGCGACUUUCUGGCCAUAAUCUGACGCUGAGGUACGAAAGCGUGGGUAGCAAACAGG
rnacentral:rRNA from 1 species